UGGUGGAGCGAUUUGUCUGGUCAAUUCCGAUAACGGACGAGACUCUAGCCUACUAAAUAGUUCGGGGACCCCCACAAAGGGGCCCCGCUCAACUUCUUAGAGGGACAGGUGGCGUUUAGCCACACGAGAUUGAGCAAUAACA
rnacentral:rRNA from 1 species